CGGGAUAUAGUCCAAUUGGCAGAGGCGUUUGAUUCAAAAUCAAAAGGUUGUGGGUUCGACUCCCACUAUCCCGACCA
rnacentral:tRNA from 1 species